ensembl:lncRNA
AUGGGCCCCUCCGCCUUCGCCGGAGACACUGAGAACACGGACGACGUCCCUGAGACCGACAGGAGGCGGCUCGCAGCUCACCACCGUCACCUGGGUGCACUUCCCGUACAGGUCCACCACCGCCCAGAGUCGAGGCGGCAGGCCGCUGGCGGCCGCGCCGCAGUCCUGCCCGUUCACCCAGAGGUGGAGCUCUCCCCGGGAGCUGCGCUGAAUGCCCACGCGGUCGCCCUCCGCCAGCUGGUCGAGGUCGCGGCCGUACUCCUCCAGGACGGAGCGGCCGUCACGGAGCACAGAGCAGCCCGACACGAUCCAGGAGCCACCCUUCAGGCCCGUGGCGCUGCUGGGGAAGUCCAGCGCGGCGGGGUCCAGAGCUGUCACCCCGAUCUCAAUGGAACCGCUCCAUGAGUUCACCUGCAGGGAGACGGAGAAAAGAUGGAGGCUUCCACUACAAAAAAAAGAAAAUCCUACUUCAUGCAGUUUUAGGUUUAAGAAGCAUCACACAAGAUACAGACAUUUAAUGGCUUUUAAGGCAGUUUUUCAAUAAAGUGGUAGGGGUAACAAAGAGUGAAGCCAAGGUUUUGGGCAGCUUUUUUACUUUCUUUUGGCCUGAACUGCUGAUAUUCUUUCAGGCGAGGCUGAUAUAGAAAACAACAGGGACAUUUUCUGUUUGUUUUUUUUUAGAUAAAAAUAGAGCAGAUCUGCAUCUAAACGAGCUCCAGAUUGUUUUGUAAAUGAACAAUUUUACAAAAUAAUGACAGGAAAUGUUUUUUUUAUCCUUCAAAUGUUCACAUCAACUCGAUGUCUGUAAAAAAAUGAAAAAAAAUUAAAGUUUGACACUAUGACAGACGCCUUUCUCUCAUUUUUUUUUGCACGCUUCACCGAAGCUGCUUCUGUUCCCCCCAAAAAAAUGAAGAAAGUAAUAUUUACUGAAAUUGCAAAACAUUUGCGCUUUAAAUGAAUUAUAAAAAUAUCCAUCAGUAGUAAGAUGGCCUGCAAACAUUACGCGUUUUAGGUUUAAUUGCAGACAUUUUAAAGGCUUUCUUUAGCAAGGGAGGAGGUGUGUGAUGAAGCUCCAACAGUAUAGAGACAUAAUAUUUAAAAAUGAUGGGGCUGCAAUCGGUGAUAAAGCUUGUGUAAAACUGCAGCGGGAUGAAAGCAAGUUCUAAUUCUUUUUUUAAAAGAGCUUUGCUGUUAUUUUUAGUCUGCAGUGCAUCUUCAUACUCAGGAGGAGCAUCUUUGAAGACAAAACACUUAAUAAAUGACAGAAAAUGACAGGCAGUCAAGCACAUUAAGUCCUUGCAGUUCUGUACUUAUAUAAAAAAAAAAGGAGCCAGUCACAAAAGCUGAAACAUCAAAUAUUGAAGGUGACUGAUCGUGACGUUACUCUGAUUGUAAGGUCUCCUGACGCUUUGUAAGAAAAAGGACUGGAUGUCACACGAGUGAAUCACGUUUUCCCCGUAACUGUGCUCUUCUAUUUGAGCAGAGUCAGCUAAAGGUGCAGCAAACAGAGACAGAUAAAAAGCCAAGCAGAAAACAACACACACAGAUGAGAAAAAUCAUCUUUACCCCUUACCUUCACCACAACUGAGAGCUCCCCGUUUACACUCUGUCCCACUAGCUUACAGCCUUUCACCCCCCCCCCCCCCCCCACACCACACACACACACACAACAGAAAUAUUGAAGCAAUAAUCCAGAUGUACAGUUUGGAGUCUGAGACCAGCCGAGACGAGAUAAAACAAAGACGUUCUUGGAUCUAGUCGUCUGCAAAAGGGCGCAUCGGAAUGGAGCGGCCCCACCCCUGAUUUCUACAUCACAAAUACGAGCUUUUAUAAAACCACUUUUCUUUGUCUGCUCCCGAUUCACAACGAUCUGAAUAAAGAAAGACUAGACUAAGCUUCAUUUUCUUUAUCUAUGUCCUCCAGCAUCAGAAAAAUGACACAAGAACAUGUUAAAACCUCAAAAAAACAACAUGAUUUGGAUGAUCAGGGUGGGUCUGUGGAGCCCCGUUGGCGUAUGCAGAGGGAACUCCUGGCAGCCUGCAGAUAAAGCAGUCAAACCAGGAGCUUCUAGCAGGCAACAUUCAGGGGGG